GGGUGCUGCUCAGCAGAAUCAUGAUGAACUGGUGCAUGAGCUAGAAAGAUGCGAGCCCAUGCUAAAGGAGGUUGCUGCAGAACACGCACAUGGCCGACAGGUACCGGAUGAAGGACUUCCCCAGACAAAGGCUUCAAUAUUGCAUUUCCUGAUUUGGUUGUCUUGCUUAUGCCAAGGCUCCAACCAAGGACUGCCAGGCAGAAGGAAACGCGGAUGAU